GACGAACGCUGGCGGCGUGCUUAACACAUGCAAGUCGAACGGAAAGGCCCUGCUUUUGUGGGGUGCUCGAGUGGCGAACGGGUGAGUAACACGUGAGUAACCUGCCCUUGACUUUGGGAUAACUUCAGGAAACUGGGGCUAAUACCGUAUAGGAGCUCCUGCUGCAUGGUGGGGGUUGGAAAGUUUCGGCGGUUGGGGAUGGACUCGCGGCUUAUCAGCUUGUUGGUUGGGUAGUGGCUUACCAAGGCUUUGACGGGUAGCCGGCCUGAGAGGGUGACCGGCCACAUUGGGACUGAGAUACGGCCCAGACUCCUACGGGAGGCAGCAGUGGGGAAUAUUGCACAAUGGGCGGAAGCCUGAUGCAGAAACGCCGCGUGCGGGAUGACGGCCUUCGGGUUGUAAACCGCUUUCGCCUGUGACGAAGCGUGAGUGACGGUAAUGGGUAAAGAAGCACCGGCUAACUACGUG
rnacentral:rRNA from 1 species